CGUGAGCCUCCCUCGCGCAGGUGUUUAAUUGCAGCUCGACGUCGUUUGACAACCGAUUCUGCUAAUCAGCGUUAUAACUUUGUUUUGCAGGAACCAAAGAUCCAUUCAGCAUAAAGACAAAAGGGCAAAGAGUAAGCUACAAGCACACCCAGCAGGAACACCUUCAAAACUCUUCAUCACGUCAGCCAGCUCAGACGUGGGGGCAAAGCUGCACGUCAACCACUUGAAUAUUAAAGAGCCGAUUUUGGAGAGAGGAGCCGUGAUCAUCCUGACCUCGACUCCAGCCGAAUAUCUGAACAGCACCCGGAUUAAGGGGGUUAAGGAGAGGCGUGUACCUGCCUGCGGCCUUCCUUCCUCCGACAGCGUGGGCGCCAUGCAACCCGCAGAAGUCACCACAGUACACGGUGGAUUUAAUUCUGUCCAAAUAAACAUG